UACGUAGGUGGCGAGCGUUGUCCGGAAUUACUGGGCGUAAAGAGCGCGUAGGCGGCUCAUUAAGUCAGAUGUGAAAACCCGAGGCUUAACUUCGGGAGUGCAUUUGAAACUGAUGUGCUUGAGUGCAGGAGAGGUAAGUGGAAUUCCUAGUGUAGCGGUGAAAUGCGUAGAUAUUAGGAGGAACACCAGUGGCGAAGGCGACUUACUGGACUGUAACUGACGCUGAGGCGCGAAAGCGUGGGGAGCAAAC
rnacentral:rRNA from 1 species